GAUAACAGGGGGGCUGGAAUGGGCACUGCGGAGAACCAUGUGCCUUCCCCGGCCUCCCACAG
ensembl:miRNA Mir6909 microRNA 6909